AAUAGAUACCCUGGUAGUCCAUGCCGUAAACGUUGGGCACUAGGUGUGGGGCUCAUUCCACGAGUUCCGUGCCGCAGCAAACGCAUUAAGUGCCCCGCCUGGGGAGUACGGCCGCAAGGCUAAAACUCAAAGGAAUUGACGGGGGCCCGCACAAGCGGCGGAGCAUGCGGAUUAAUUCGAUGCAACGCGAAGAACCUUACCAAGGCUUGACAUGCACGGGAAGCCACCAGAGAUGGUGGUCUCUUUGGACACUCGUGCACAGGUGGUGCAUGGUUGUCGUCAGCUCGUGUCGUGAGAUGUUGGGUUAAGUCCCGCAACGAGCGCAACCCUCGUCCCAUGUUGCCAGCGGGUUAUGCCGGGGACUCAUGGAAGACUGCCGGGGUCAACUCGGAGGAAGGUGGGGAUGACGUCAAAUCAUCAUGCCCCUUAUGUCUUGGGCUUCACGCAUGCUACAAUGGCCGGUACAAAGGGCUGCGAUGCCGUAAGGUGGAGCGAAUCCCAAAAAGCCGGUCUCAGUUCGGAGUU
rnacentral:rRNA from 1 species